GUAACAUCCAACAGCUCACACUUGGAAGCUUCCUGAUCCCCGGGGUCUUUCCCUUGUGGCCAGGACCAGUGCGCUCUCAUGCCUGUUCCAAAGGUCUCUUUUCCUGGAACUAAAGGGGUGGUGAGAAGGAAUUCUGACCCAUCUAUGCUCCAGAGACAGGAGAGGAAGGAGACUUGGAGAUUCAUGAGGUAUCCUGAUGAUCUAUCAUCCAUCAUCCUGAUGAAGAUGAGUUUAAUGCCGUCAGACUGACAAGCUAUGUUUCAUGUCCUAUAUCCUGCUACAAAGGGCGUCUCACCCUGCUCCGGGAUUUCUUGCGUUCAUGUCUGUUGGGGAAGACAAGAGAGCCAGAAUAUUGUCCACCUUAUGAAUAAAGGAGGAGCAGCCAGGCUACAUGGAGUGGGUCAGGAGGAAAGGAGUCUCAAGGAUGAGCGACGGUUUAUCAAGUUAAGCAGCUUGAAAUGCUCAGCUGGCACAUGAAGGAGCAGCCAUAGGCCCCAGGGUAUCAGGACCACUGUCCACACCCAGUCCUGAGGGAUCUGGACCAUUUCACUGUUGGGAAUGUGAUCACUUCCAAAGGAAGAAGACGGACUUUGUUUCACAUUUUUGAUCACAGUCGGGGAUGAGGGAUGGCUAGAGUAGUGGACUAGCAGGUGAGCUCUUAGAUCUGCUUUCUGAUCAAAUUCUUGUGGCUGGAGGCAAGACAGAACGUGCUCGUCUAGGACAUUUACCUCAAAGUUGUGUCACAGACGACCAGUACUAGUGUCUUCUGGAGUACUUGAUAAAAAUGCAGAUUUCUGGGCCCCCUUAGACCUACUGAAUCAGAAUUCCUGGGGCCGAAGCCUGAAGAUUUGCAUUUAAGCCCACUUCCUACUAAUUCUUAUGUAGACUAAGGUUUAAGAAGCAUGGGUGUCUGGGUUAAUUAUGAGUUAUUCUUAUCAAUGAAAAAUUACACCAAAUAUGAAUUAACCGGGGCAAUUGGACAUCUGUUUGGUUUGCGGAUGCUGAUGAUGACUUUACCUAGUACUUCCCAGUUCCUCUACCAUCUUUCAGUAUCACUUCCACAUUUACUACUGAAGUUUAUUUCUCAUUCAGUGUUCUUUCUGUCGGUGCAAAGGAAAACAUCUUUGUUUUCUCUUUUAGUUUCAAUUUUUAAUUAAAAAUUUCUGAGAAAUCCUUACCUUUAAUGAAAAUGUUUCCAAAGUAUGUUCAAAGGGUGGCCACUAGAUAGAUGGUCUGAAUCUACAACAUCAGGGACUUUGAGAAGUGUAAUAUGGAGUGAAAAGAGCAAGUUAGAAAAUAUCAUAUGAUCUCACUUAUAUGUGGAAUCUUGAAAAAAAAAAAGAAAAAGCCAAGCUCAUAGAUACAGAGAACAGAUGGGCGGUUGCGAGCAGCAGGGGUUGGAGGUGGACAAACUGAACUGUCCAUGGAGUUCAACAAAUAUUUGCUAGUAUUUAUAUGUACAAGGUCCUUUGGACAGAGGAAGAGAAGUGGGACACCAUUAUCACCUGGAGGAGCAUACACUCCAAUUAUGUAGACAAGAAUAAAUAUACAUUUGAACUGUGGUGUUCAAACUUUUUUAAAAGAGCAUAAAGCCCUUGCUGUGGUCUAAAUGUUCGUGUCGCCCACAUAUUAAUAUGUUGGAAUCCUAAUGCCCAAAGUGAUGGUAUUAGGAGACGUGCCCUUUGAGAGGUGCUUAGGUCAUGAGAGUGGAGCUCUCAUGAAUGGGAUUAGUGUUCUUAUAAAAUUUAUGAGACCCCCACAGAGAUCCCUGGCCCCUUCCACCAUUUUAGGACACUGAGCGAAGGCGCCAGCUAUGAACCAGGAAGAGGGCUCUCACCAGAAUGAGACCAUGCUGGCAACUUGAUCUUGGAUUUCCCAGCCUCCAGAACUAUUCGUCCGUAUCCCAUCUCAGGCUGAGAGAUGCUGAUGUGAGGCCCAGAGGGUGGUGCCUGAGAGAGAAACCGGCGGUUGCAUAAACCGAGGCCGCUUCAGGUUAAAGGGGAGCGAGUUCUGUCUAUCCAAACGAACACCGUGAGAACUGAAGGGAUAAAUGUACCACCCGAAGGAUUCUCCUGGGACCCUCCCCAAGGACCUGGAUUCCUUAAAGAUCCCGCCAGAGCAGGAGCACUCGGAGUACGCCUUCCCCAAGCAAAGAGUCUAAAGGUCUGGGAGAUCCCCUCCCUCCCUCGUCAUGGACAAGACCCAUUCUCAGUGCUCUGCCCCACCUAACUCCAGGGCCCCACGGAAGAAACGAGAGAGGAAUCUAGAGGUCAGUGUCCCUCCCUCACUACCCCAGCUGGGUGAUCCCUGGGCGACACAAUCACCGUCCCAAAUCUCACCCUGCAGCAGCAUCGUCUCCCGCGCGUUCUCCAGGUAUUUGCACAGGCGCGGGACGCCCUCUUCCUCCAGGCCAGCGCUCCGGGACUUUGCACGGUAGGCAUCUCCCAUUGAGCCUGGGGUUUUGAGUCGCAGUGUCCGCUUCUGUCCAGGUCUCCAGGCCCGGGUGUGGCCUUCCAACGAGGCGCGGAGAAGCGGGACGCGCCAACCGGCCCCCCUCCGUUUCUGGCGCACCCAGAAGACAGGGUCCUCGGGGUCCGCCUCCGCGGGCGCGCCCGGCCCGCUCCGGCCCCACCCACCUCAGGCCCUGAGGCUAUGAUUGGCUGCGUGAACGCCAAUCAGGGCUCGGCUGGGCGCGGGCCGCAGGAACGCAGCCGGACUCGCCAGUUUGAAUGCCCGCUGGGUUAUUCUCAGCGCUCCGCGGGUGAGGUGGAAAAGAGGGACGUCAUUUGUCCCUAAACAGAAUAACCUGAGACCGCUGGUACCAUGGCUGUGGACGUGUCGGAUCGUGGGAAUCCCUAGCGCUGGUCGCGCUCCUGAGUCCGCUUCCAAACCUCAUUCACGACCCGAAAAGGAUGCAUGCAUAUAUAUGUGUGUGUGUAUGCACACAUAUAUAUGCUUUAGCGGAAUGGAAUAAAUAAUAUCUAUAAAAUAACUGUUAUAUGUAUUAAUAUAUAAAAUAUAUCUAAUUUAUGUAUUUUAGUGGAAUGGAAUCGAAUAGAAAAUACUGGCCUGCAUCACAAUGAGUGUAACUAUAGUUUCUUGAAACGUUUGUUCCAGUUAAAUAUAUUUGUGUGUGUUUGUGCAUUAGCAGGUAUAUGUAUAUAAAUAAGACAUUUCUUUUCCUGCUUUGUGUCCCCAACCCCCUCCCCCCCCCCCCCCCCCGUACACAGUUGUAUAUCUCAG
ensembl:lncRNA